rnacentral:rRNA from 1 species
UACGUAGGGCGCAAGCGUUGUCCGGAAUUAUUGGGCGUAAAGAGCUCGUAGGCGGUUUGUCGCGUCUGGUGUGAAAACUCGAGGCUCAACCUCGAGCUUGCAUCGGGUACGGGCAGACUAGAGCGCGAGAGAGGAGGGUGGAAUUCCUGGUGUAGCGGUGAAAUGCGUAGAUAUCAGGAGGAACACCGGCGGCGAAGGCGGCCCUCUGGCUCGUUGCUGACGCUGAAACGCGAAAAGCGUGGGGAGCAAACAGG